rnacentral:rRNA from 1 species
GACUAGUCGAUCUCGCAUGCAGAAGACCAGCGGACCCAUUACAACACCCAGGGGUGACCCCAACCCCUGACGCUGAGUGUGUGCAGCCCUGCCUUGCGCCCUCAGCAUAAAACGAACCCAGGCGCGGAACGCGUCAAGGAAUCAUAACGAAACGAGCUCCUGCCGUGGCCCCGGGGACGGUGAUCGCCGCAGCAGCUGUGUUGUGCUUGGUUAAGUCUAAAAUGACUCUCGGCAACGGAUAUCUCGGCUCUCGCAUCGUGGAAGAACGCAGCAAGAUGCUGCGGGAUGUGGGGUCUUACACGUUUGACGGACUGACAUGAGCCCGUUGUUCGUUUAAUAACAACAAAGCAAUCCGCAGGGAUAACGAUCAUUGCGUAGAGCCGACCGUUACACACUAAGUUUCCCCCUCUUCUUAAAUAAUAAGUCUUACUCCUUAUUCAAAAAUCGC